GAUUAACGCUAGCGGCAGGCCUAAUACAUGCAAGUCGUACGGUAACAGGUGUAGCAAUACAUGCUGACGAGUGGCGCACGGGUGCGUAACACGUAUGCAAUCUGCCUUUAACUGGGGAACAACCCCUCGAAAGAGGGGCUAAUACCGCAUAACAUCCACGGACGGCAUCGCCUGGCUAGCAAAACUACGGGGGUUAAAGAUGAACAUGCGACUGAUUAGUUAGUUGGCGGGGUAACGGCCCACCAAGACAGCGAUCAGUAGGGGAUCUGAGAGGAUGAUCCCCCACACGGGUACUGAGACACGGACCCGACUCCUACGGGAGGCAGCAGUAAGGAAUAUUGGACAAUGGAGGCAACUCUGAUCCAGCCAUGCCGCGUGAAGGAUGAAUGCGCUAUGCGUUGUAAACUUCUUUUAUACGGGAAAAAUAUCCGCUAUUCUUAGCGGAUUGAUUGUACUGUAAGAAUAAGGGUCGGCUAACUUCGUGCCAGCAGCCGCCGUAAUAC
rnacentral:rRNA from 1 species